GUCCCCUUCGUCUAGUGGCCCAGGACACUGCCCUCUCACGGCAAUAACACGGGUUCAAAUCCCGUAGGGGACGCCA
rnacentral:tRNA from 1 species